rnacentral:lncRNA from 1 species
GGUCACUCAAAAUGGAUGUUUGCUUUGAACUUCAUUCUUCUAACUAAAGGAAACUUCUUACUGCAGAGACAACGCAGCCAGAGACAACUCUAUUAGCACAAAGCACAUUCCAGCAAAUGCCAAGGGCUUUCCAGUGAAUACAGGGUGGAGAGGACACAGCCUUCCCACCAGAGAGGUGGCCAACACUUCCCUUCCAAAGAGCUUCCACUGCCAGCUCUGUAUCAGCCCUGGGGUAGGUGGAGUCAAUUUUUCACUUUUAACUUCUUGCUUGCUGAGUUUGCAUUUUGAAUUUUCUGCUUUGUGCCAACUUUUCCCUCAAUUUCCCAGCUUCUGGCUGCUGCUGCACCUCAAUGGAUGUCUCC